rnacentral:lncRNA from 1 species
ACUAGUUGUGGUUGGGUAUUAAACUGUAGCAUUUUUUUUUCUUUCAGUUAUUACUCCCUUUAAAAUUCUUCAAGUGAGACAAAGCAGGUCUCAUUCUUUUCUUCCAGUUUAAUUACAUCAGCUGUAAUGCUUUACUAAUACAUCUGUCUUAUUCAGACAGAACUGCAGGUGUCACUAAAAAUCGUGAAGACAAUUCCAUUCUCUGGAAGACAAGACACUAACAAAAUCUGGGGAAGUGGUGAAGAAGAAUCCUUCUCCAGUUGCUGAGUGUGAUGAACCAAUGAGCAAAAAAAGACUAAAACCUGAAGUCAGACUCUGGCAUGUUUGAAUACCAUAUGCCUGCACUAUUGGGAGGCUGGAGCAGAGUAUCUGGAGAAAGAUGAGAGAGUGUGGGUGGCAAGAGAAAAAACAACCACGACUGAUCUUGGACAGAGUGAAAAAAUACACCAACAACUUGAGUAAACAACAGCAAGACAAUCUGCAUCUUCUGAGUUUGUGUAGGAGAUAAGUCAAAUCUGGGAAACGUUUUCUGAUAUGUCCAUUAAUGGGUGUACGACUCAUCCAGUCACUCAGGAGCUAAUACUGC